rnacentral:rRNA from 1 species
GAUGAACGCUGGCGGCGUGCCUAAUACAUGCAAGUCGAGCGAACGUACGAGAAGCUUGCUUCUCUGAUGUUAGCGGCGGACGGGGGAGUAACACGUGGAUAACCUACCUAUAAGACUGGGAUAACUUCGGGAAACCGGAGCUAAUACCGGAUGAUAUUUUGAACCUCAUGGUUCAAAAGUGAAAGACGGUCUUGCUGUCACUUAUAGAUGGAUCCGCGCUGCAUUAGCUAGUUGGUAAGGUAACGGCUUACCAAGGCAACGAUGCAUAGCCGACCUGAGAGGGGGACGGGCACAACGGGAACGGGGCCACGGUCCAGCCUCCUACGGGAGGCAGCAGAAGGGAAUCUUCGGCAAUGGGCGAAAGCCUGACGGAGAAACGCCGGGUGAGUAAUGAAGGUCUUCGGAUCGUAAAACUCUGUUAUUAGGGAAGAACAUAUGUGUAAGUAACUGUUCACAUCUUGACGGUACCUAAUCAGAAAGCCACGGCUAACUACGUG